rnacentral:rRNA from 1 species
AGAGUUUGAUCAUGGCUCAGAGCGAACGCUGGCGGCAGGCCUAACACAUGCAAGUCGAGCGGAUGUAGCAAUACAUCAGCGGCAGACGGGAGAGUAACACGUGGGAACGCGCCCUUCGGUUCGGAAUAACUCAGGGAAACUUGAGCUAAUACCGGAUACGCCCUUACGGGGAAAGAUUUAUUGCCGAAGGAACGGCCCGCGUCCGAUUAGCUUGUUGGUGAGGUAAUGGCUCACCAAGGCGACGAUCGGUAGCUGGUCUGAGAGGAUGACCAGCCUCACUGGGACUGAGACACGGCCCAGACUCCUACGGGAGGCAGCAGUGGGGAAUAUUGGACAAUGGGCGCAAGCCUGAUCCAGCCAUGCCGCGUGAGUGAUGAAGGCCUUAGGGUUGUAAAGCUCUUUUA